UCUUUCCUUUUAUGUCUUUCCUUUCUUUACAUCUUUUUCCAUACUUUUAAAUACGGCAUUGGUGCUGCGAUGGUGCAGCAUCGUCAUCCAUGAUUAGACCCUAUGACUCUUUGUGCUUACCAUUGUAUUUGCUAUAUGAAUGAAUUUAUUCAGAUUAAUAAAAUGUGUGGUUAUGUGGAAUAAACUAUUUUACAAUAAAUGCAACGAUAAAAGUUUUUUGCUAAAAAUCUAAUGUAUAUAUGCAGUUUAAUAUACUCAUAAAUUUCAAAAUAUUGGUUUCGCUUAUAAAUUGUUUUUAGCUUAAGGUUAUCAGUUUCGAUUAUAAUAUAUUUCAUUUCUACCAAAACAUUAUUAUAUUUAAGAUCUUUACUCUUUUCCCAAUGAUUCCCAAACAUGCUCUAUGUACCUCCAGUUGACCUAAUUUCUUUUCAUUGUAGGUUUCUCCAGUGGUUGAUCAAAGAGCAAGACUGUAAUGACACUCAGUUGCACACGUUGUAUGCCCUAUCACUUUCUAAAUCAACUAUUGAAGCAUUUGAGUCUGAAAAUCUUGAUAGUGGUAAUACUGAGAAUACCUCUGGGAUAUCAAUCUUUCAGACUAGUGUAAGAAAAAGAUUGCAAGUAUUUUUGCAAUCCUCUAACUUGUAUGAUCCAGAAGAAAUUCUUGACUUGAUUGAAGGGUCAGAGUUAUGGUUAGAAAAGGCUAUUCUGUAUAGAAUACUGGGGUAGACUUUGGUCCUCCAAAUUUUGGCUUUGAAGUUGGAAGAUAGCGAGGCUGCUGAGGAGUAUUGUACUGAAAUUGGCAGACCUGAUGCUUACAUGCAUUUGCUUGAAAUGUAUUUGGAUCCACAAGAUGGUAAGGAGCCCAUGUUUGAUGCUGCUGUUCGCCUUCUCCACAAUCAUGGAGAAUCAUUGGAUCUUUGCAAGUUUUAGAGAUAUUAUAUCACUCUAUCUUCUCCUGAAUACUAAAGCAGUUUCAAUUAUACUACAAUUGUGAAUAUUUUGCAACCUGCAUCAUUGGACACAAAAGACAGAUUAAUAUAAAGAAGCAGUUAAUCACUCAUGAAAAUUGAUGGUUGUUUUCCACCCUUCCCAGCCACGUUCCUGAAUACACAAUUGAAGCCUUUAACCUAACUUGUAAGGAAGACUUGUAAAGUACUUGAUUUUCCAUUUUACACCUUAUACUUAGAACAUUGUAUUUCUUGCUGCUUGAUAAAUGAGAGGUUAUUGAUUCUCUUUGA